rnacentral:tmRNA from 1 species
CUAGCUGCAAGGUAAAACAUAUGGGCUGGCAUCACUUCGGGUACCUUGAGGUGGUGUGAGAAAAAAGGGUGCUGGCUGGGUGUUCAGCGUGUCGCUGCGCGGUUCAUUUGGCGAGACUCAAAUCAGACGACUACACAUGUAGAACUGUACGAAAAAGGCUUGUGGACGGGGGUUCAAAUCCCCCCAGCUCCACCA